GUCUACGGCCAUACCACGUUGAAAGCACCAGUUCUCGUCCGAUCACUGAAGUUAAGCAACGUCGGGCUCGGUUAGUACUUGGAUGGCUGACCGCCUGGGAACACCGAGUGCUGUAGACUCCU
rnacentral:rRNA from 1 species